rnacentral:tRNA from 1 species
UUUAACAACCCGAAGAAGGGGGUUUGUGUUUCGGCCACAAAUGUGGGAGUAGUUCUCUGUUAAAG